rnacentral:rRNA from 1 species
UACGAUAAGUAUCACGGUACCUAAAGUGAUUGAUGUCACGCUUCCUAGAAAAGCUUAUGUAGUGUUUGAUUGAGUGUACCUGUACCUUAAACUGACACAGGUAGGUUAGUAGAGAAUACUAAGGGGCGCGAGAUAACUCUUUCUAAGGAACUCGGCAAAAUAACUCUGUAACUUAGGGAGAAAGAGUACCUCUUCUAGAGGUCGCAGUGACCAGACCCAAGUGACUGUUUACCAAAAACACAGGUCUCCGCUAAGUUGAAAAACGAUGUAUGGGGGCUGACGCCUGCCCAGUGCCGGAAGGUUAAAGAAAUUGGUUAGCGUAAGCGAAGCUGGUAACUGAAGCCCUGGUGAACGGCGGCCGUAACUAUAACGGUUCUAAGGUAGCGAAAUUCCUUGUCGGGUAAGUUCCGACCUGCACGAAAGGCGUAACGAUUUGGGUACUGUCUCAGAAAGAGACUCGGUGAAAUAGAAUUGACUGUGAAGAUGCGGUCUACUUGCACUUGGACAGAAAGACCCUAUGAAGCUUUACUGUAACUUGAAAUUGGUUUUGGACUUUUUUUGCGCAGAAUAGGUGGGAGGCAAUGAUUCUCUUUUUCGGAAGAAGAUGAGCUGUAAUGUGAGAUACCACUCUGAAAAAGUUAGAAACCUAAUAAUAUUUUUACAAUAUAUUUGACAAUUUCAGGCGGGCAGUUUUACUGGGGCGGUAGCCUCCUAAAAAGUAACGGAGGCGUACAAAGGUUUUCUCAGUCUGGACGGAAAUUAGUUGUAGAGUGUAAAGACAUAAGAAAGCUUGACUGUGAGACUUACAAGUCGAGCAGAGACUAAAGUCGGUCUUAGUGAUCCGACGGUGCUGAAUGGAAAGGCCGUCGCUCAACGGAUAAAAGUUACUCUAGGAUAACAGGCUGAUCUCCCCCAAGAGUUCACAUCGACGGGGAGGUUUGGCACCUCGAUGUCGGCUCAUCGCAACCUGGGGCGGUAGUACGUUCCAAGGGUUGGGCUGUUCGCCCAUUAAAGCGGUACGUGAGCUGGGUUCAGAACGUCGAGAGACAGUUCGGUCCAUAUCCGGUGUAAGUGUUAGAGUAUUGAAAGGAGCUUUCUCUAGUACGAGAGGACCGAGAAGGACGCACCACUGAUGUACCAGUUUUUGUGCCAACAGAAAACGCUGGGUAGCCACGUGUGGAGCGGAUAACUGCUGAAAGCAUAUAAGUAGGAAGCCCACCUUAAGAUGAGUACUCUUUUAGGUCACGGUUAGAUUAACCGUUUUGAUAGGUGUUAAGUGUAAGGAUGGCAACAUUUUUAGCUGAGACAUACUAAUAGACCCAAAAUUUAUCCUA